AAGGGAGACCUAAUUCCGGUAGGAGACGAAAAAAAAGUAGUACCAACCGAGAAUCAAUCCCAAAAGGUCGGAGCGAGGCGAAAUUGGCUUUCAAACUAGGUUCUGGGUUCACACAAGACCUGAAUCAGGAACAAGGGCUAUUAGCUCAGGUGGUUAGAGCGCACCCCUGAUAAGGGUGAGGUCCCUGGUUCGAGUCCAGGAUGGCCCACCUGCACAGGUGGCAAAAACAAGAGAAGCGAGGAAUCAGCACCUUAUCUUAUCUAUAUAUAUAUAGGAGAGAAUGCUGGCUCUGAGUAAAGAGUCCAGAGGAACCUUGAAAACUGCAUAGAGCUAGGUGAAAAAGCCAAAAAAGAAGACCGCAAGGUCAAGCUAAUGAGGGCUAAUGGUGGAUACCUAGGCAC
rnacentral:tRNA from 1 species